rnacentral:rRNA from 2 species
GGACUACACGGGUAUCUAAUCCUGUUUGCUCCCCGCGCUUUCGUGCACUCAGCGUCAGUUGUAGUUUAGUGAGCUGCCUUCGCAAUCGGUGUUCUGUGUCAUAUCUAAGCAUUUCACCGCUACAUGACACAUUCCGCCCACUUCAAAUACACUCAAGACCAUCAGUAUCAAUGGCAAUUUCCAUGUUAGGCAUGGAGCUUUCACCACUGACUUAAUAGCCCGCCUACGCACCCUUUAAACCCAAUAAAUCCGGAUAACGCUUGGGACCUUCGUAUUACCGCGGCGGCUGGCAC